rnacentral:rRNA from 1 species
UGGUCAAGCGAAUAAGCGCACACGGUGGAUGCCUAGGCGGUCAGAGGCGAUGAAGGACGUGGUAGCCUGCGAAAAGUGUCGGGGAGCUGGCAACAAGCUUUGAUCCGGCAAUAUCCGAAUGGGGAAACCCACUGCUUCGGCAGUAUCCUGCAGUGAAUUCAUAGCUGCUGGAAGCGAACCCGG